rnacentral:snRNA from 1 species
AUACUUACCUGGCAGGGGAAAUACCAUGAUCACAAAGGUGGUUUUCCCAGGGCAAGGCUUAUCCUUUGCAUUCCAGAUGUACUGACACCUGCAAUUUCCCCAAAUGUGGGAAACAACCGCAUAAUUUGUGGUAGUGGGGGACUGCGUUCGCGCUCUCCUCUG